rnacentral:lncRNA from 1 species
AGCCAUAAAAAAUGAUGAGUUCAUGUCCUUUGCAGGGACAUGGAUGAAGCUGGAAACCAUCAUUUUCAGCCAACUAUCACAAGGACAGAAAACCAAACACUGCAUGUUCUCACUCAUAGGUGGGAAUUGAACAAUGAGAACACGUGGACACAGGGCAGGGAACAUCACACAUGGGGUCCUGUUGCGGGGUGGGGGGCAGGUGGAGGGAUAGCAUUAGGAGAAAUACCUAAUGUAAAUGACAACUUGAUGGAUGCAGCAGACCAACAUGGCACAGUGAGUUACUUUGCUUCUCUGGGCCUAAUCUCUCAUUUCAAGUGGAAGGCUGACCAUCAUGUCUGCUUUCUCAGCUAUGAAACAAUGUAAUUCUAGUGGGAGCCACACAUUGAGUACCAAUGGACAUAUAGAUGGCAACAAUACACGGGACUAUAGAGGUGGGGGAAGGGUACAGAGUUGAAAAACCUAACUAUUGUAUACUAUGCUCAGUACUUGGGUAAUGAGACCAUUCAUACCCCAUUUUUGUUCUCAACUUGAAAAUACCUAAUCUGAUAUCCUAAAGCCUGGAGAAGAAAAAAAGAAGGAUAUCUUCAACUAUUAUCCUCCUCACUAGGGAUUUAAGAAGGAAAGGACAAUGGCUAAGGUGUGUGAUAAGGUUACAACCUGCUUGACCCACCGUGUUUACUCAGUAAAGAAAAUGUAUCUCAGUUGUGCUUGCUAUUAGAUUCAGGAUUAUUUUCAAAAAGGAAAUCCCAUGAAGAGUCUAGUUGUGGUCCUCUCACUAAAAUAUUAUAAAGAGUUUAAUUUUAUCUUACAAUUGCUUUGAGCCAAGGAGGCAGAGGUUGCAGUGCGCCCAGAUAGCACCACUGCACUCCAGCCAAGACUCCAUCUCAAAAAAAAAAAAAAAAAUGGAAAAACUGAAUAAUCCUGUAACAUUUUUAAAAUUUAACUUAGUAGUUUAAGAUCUUCUCUAAAGGUGAAAAUAAAAAGGAAAUGUCAAAAAGACUAGCAUUUGCCAGGGAAAACUGGCACGUUCUCGCUGGCAUUUAGAUUUUUUUAAAUCAGGAAGAAGGAGAGUGAAAUAUAUGCAAAAUGGUCUACAUGAAUAAACUCAGGACAGUCAGAAUGUGACACCCCCCAACUUGCAGCCAGAUAACUGUCUCCCCCCACAAUUUCCCUUUCCUACUCCACUUG